CUUAAAUUUGUGGUGCCGCCUCGCUCUUUCAAACAGGUAUGUUUCGGACUUACAACAAGGGGGCAGUGGUGAUCCCCGCGCUGGUGCCUUGCUCAUCCCUUUCUGCAAAGCCUUGUUAGGGCUGCCAGCUGCUCAGCAGGCAUUGCAAACAUGGCUGGUUGCCCAGCAACCCAGAAACACCAUGUGGACACCCAGCAGGAGGUGAGGGGGGAGUCGGGAGGGGGGAUAACACCUGCCAGAAACGUGGCUCAAUGAAACAGAAAGGUCCAGGAGGCCUGUCAGAAGAACAGCUCUCUUAAGGAAAGAGCCGUAGAGCAAUUAUGCUGAGCUUUGCCAGAGAGGCAGCAGAGGAGAAGGAGAUGCCUGGCUGCCUGGUGGGCACUCCUCUCAGAAAGAGAGGCCUAGAGGAGGCUCCCCUCGACCUCUCUUAGAAACGACCAGCUUUCCAGGAGCUGUGAGGGCUGAGGUUACUGCAAUGGGGCUUAUGGACAGCUGGAUUAGAAAGCUGUCUACCUUCUUUUGAAGCUUGAACUGAAAGGAGACUGGUGGUGGGAGAGGAAAGGAAAGCUCCUUUUAGGGUCUGAGGUGUUUCCCACAACAUUAGCUGAUCUCUGUGCUCAUGAUCCUGAGGCACCUACUAAAUCCUGUGGUCUUGAUCCUGAGGCACUCACCAUGCUAUUGCUGCCCCAUCUCUGAAGUCCUAAUGUAAGCAACUGAUUGGAUAGUCUGCUCUACUGAUGACAACCUGUCAUGACAAUCGCUGUGGAGAACAAGAAUGUUCAAUAGAAUGAGUAGGAACUCCAUUAUGUUCUUAAGAUCUGUCACUGAGGAAUCCGAGAGGCUAUAGCCUGGAAACAAGAUGUCCCUUCAAGAAGCCUCGUGUUGUUGUUAUCCCCCUCUGCUGUAAAAGAACAUGGGCACCAAAGCUUGAUACGUAACAAUAGCAACAACAGUGCAGGACUUUAUACAGCUGGUGGAGAUUUGGAAGGUUUGUUCUUGCCUUUGCAAGCAUGGACAAGGAAGAGUUGCCCAUCUCACUUUUUCUGCUUAUCUCCUGAGCUGUGCAUGUGCAGAAAAAUCCAUAAUAAAAUAAUCUGUAUCAGUUCUCUAAAAUCUUUAAUCAAAU
rnacentral:lncRNA from 1 species